GGUGGUUUCUUAGUGGCGAACGGGUGAGUAACGCGUUGGUGACCUGCCCCGAAGCGGGGGAUAACUCCGGGAAACUGGAGCUAAUACCCCAUGUGGUCACGAGGGUUAGAUACCUUGUGACUAAAGGUCUCGAUCACUUCGGGAGGGGCCUGCGUCCCAUCAGCUUGUUGGUAGGGUAACGGCCUACCAAGGCUAUGACGGGUAGGGGACCUGAGAGGGUGACCCCCCACAAUGGAACUGAAACACGGUCCAUACACCUACGGGUGGCAGCAGUAGGGAAUCUUGCACAAUGGGCGAAAGCCUGAUGCAGCAACGCCGCGUGUGCGAUGAAGGCCUUCGGGUUGUAAAGCACUUUUCUGAGGGAAGAGGAAGGACGGUACCUCAGGAAUAAGGCUCGGCUAACUACGUGCCAGCAGCCGCGGUAAAACGUAGGAGUCAAGCGUUAUCCGAAUUUACUGGGCGUAAAGCGCGUGUAGGCGGUGCGGUUAGUUGGAUGUGAAAGCUCCCGGCUCAACUGGGAGAGGUCGUUCAAUACUGCCGCACUAGAGGACGGUAGAGGGAGGUGGAAUUCCCGGUGUAGUGGUGAAAUGCGUAGAUAUCGGGAGGAACACCAGUGGCGAAGGCGGCCUCCUGGGCCGUUCCUGACGCUCAGACGCGAAGCUAGGGUAGCAAACGGGAUUAGAAACCCCGGUAGUCCUAGCUGUAAACGAUGUAGACUUGGUGUCGGUGGUGUAAGAACCAUCGGUGCCGCAGCUAACGCGGUAAGUCUACCGCCUGGGGACUACGGUCGCAAGGCUAAAACUCAAAGGAAUUGACGGGGAACCCGCACAAGCAGCGGAAGCGUGUG
rnacentral:rRNA from 1 species